CAAUAGCGUAUAUUAAAGUUGUUGCAGUUAAAAAGCUCGUAGUUGAACUUUGGGCCUGGCAGGCCGGUCCGCUUUUUGGCGAGUACUGACCCUGCCGGGCCUUUCCUUCUGGCUAACCUCCCCUCUGGAGAGGCGAACCAGGACUUUUACUUUGAAAAAAUUAGAGUGUUCAAAGCAGGCCUUUGCUCGAAUAUAUUAGCAUGGAAUAAUAGAAUAGGACGUUUGGUUCUAUUUUGUUGGUUUCUAGGACCAUCGUAAUGAUUAAUAGGGACGGUCGGGGGCAUCAGUAUUCAGUUGUCAGAGGUGGAAUUCUUGGAUUUACUGAAGACUAACUACUGCGAAAGCAUUUGCCAAGGACGUUUUCAUUAA
rnacentral:rRNA from 1 species